AGAUUUCUUUUGCAGUCUCAGUGAAAUUAGAGGGUGAUUGUACAAAAUGAUUAAAUUAGUAAAAUUAAGUUUAUUAAUAUUUUGUUUAAAACACGUUUCUACAAAAGUAAUUUCCGGUGAAAUAGAUACUAAUAAGGUAUAUAAUAUAAAUAUAAUACAAAAUCUCAUCAUUUGUUGAUAAAUGAAAACAUUGAAUUAGGAUUGGAUUUUCCUUGCAAGAUUCUGCUUUCUCUCUCGAGUGGGAAAAAUGAAUUUUACAUUCAUAUACCCAGUGGUAAUUAUAACAUCUUAUCAGUAAAAACUAAUAAGUUAUUGAAUAAAUAGAAUUAUCAACCGGAACGUAUAAUUCUAUACUUUGAUAAUCAAUGGCCGAAAGUCUAUAAAAAGGGUUUGGUGAGAUUUUUAUCUUUACUUUACUAUAUAUACAUAUAUAUAUAUAUAUUUGACACUUUAUUCUAUCUCACCUAUUUACACUCUAUCUUGUGAAAACUUCUAACUUGGCAGCAAAGCUAUUUUCAGUUGACACUUAUUUAUAAGCACGCUCCUUUCAAAACUGUUAUAAAACUCGCUGUUAAAUUAUCACUUUGUAUAGAGUUUCGUUUAAAGAACAAUGUACUUUUAAGAUCUACGAUGUAAUAAUAGUAUUAUUUGAAGUGCCUCUAACACAAAAAUAGACGUACUCUUAGUUUUGAUGUCCAAAAAAUACAUCAUUUUUACUUGCAUUUAAAAGGCAGACUCGUAAAAAGAGAGAGAAGAAAUUAACUAUAAAUUACACCUUCAAAGUAAAACAGCUAUUGAUUUGGAAAGAGAUGCUGAAAAUGUUGUAAAAAUUUUAUUGUUGGCAUUCUUAUCAAAUAGCAAUGUAUAAUUUAGAUCUAUGCAAAUAAUAUAUUAUAUUUUUUAUGUACAAUUUGUUGUGUCAGUUUAAACUAAUUUUUCUUAAAUAAUAUAGACAUGCAGCAAGAAGAAUUCAAUCAUUCAAAGCAUAAAUAAUCAAGAAAUAAUAUUAACGGAUCGGUAACCUGUUCUAAUUAUUCGUAGCUAUAGAGUUUCUAUUAUAUAUACUAAUAUAAAUUUAUAUAAGUAUAAUAACAAUUGUAUAGAUAGCGUGUUAUUUACGGAAUAACAUUUUCAGAGAAAGAGAUAGAUGGUCUGGAUGUAUUAUUCGAAAUUCAACAUAUCAUUGUGGAGGGGAAAGAAGUUUUACAUCGGCAAGACCACGUUGGUGGUUUAUAGUACUUUCAAAUUGUAAUACUAAACAGGGACUCAAAUUAAAUUAUAAAAUUAUCAUGACAAACGAUAGAGGAUUGUUUUUCGAACAAUUUUCAGCCGAUGAAUUUUAUAUUAUACAUAUUGACAUCUCAUAUCUAAUUGUCAAUGCAUUGAUGCUGUUAAUUACAGUAUUUUUCGCAUUUAAAUUAAAGUCUCGACAAUUCUUUCAUACAACUUACAAGAUAUAUUUAGUGUCUUUAACGUGUCAAGCCACAUAUCUAUUAAUAAUGAGCAUAUACUUAGGGAAAUUUGCAAAUGAUGGAAUUGAGAGACCGGGUGUAAAAACGUUUGCAAGGUUUUUCCAGUCAGCAUCAACUUGUUUUUUCUUGCUUUUAUUAAUUCUUAUGGGAAAAGGUUAUACUAUUACAAGAGGGCGCAUUAGUACAGGAGGAGUGAUAAAGAUUACUAUUUUUAUGACUAUAUACGUUAUAGCUUAUUUUAUACUAUUUGUGUUUGAAAAUAAAUUUUUUGAUCCUGGUUUAGUACUCUAUUUGUACGAAUCUCCGGCAGGAUAUGGUCUAAUUGGGCUUCAUAUACUUAGUUGGUUUUGGUUUUCCUAUGCAAUUUUCUGUACCAGAAAACGUUAUCCAGAGAAAAGUUCCUUUUACUACCUCUUUUAUUUGUUCUAUACUUUUUGGUUUCUAGCCAUGCCCAUAUUUGUGCUAAUUGCCUACUUCGUCAUUGAUAAAUGGGUAAGGGAAAAGGUUGUAAACGGAGUUGAGAAUACCAUAGCCUUCUUAGCACACUUAAUAUUCUUGAUAUUAACCAGACCUUCAGCUGCAAACAAAAAUUUUCCAUAUCAUGUAAAGACUACUCAGAUUGGAGUAAUGGACAAUGCUCCUCAUAUUGAGAUGAGAAACCAGAAAAAUUUUAAUCCUUUUUCUAAUGACUACAAUCCAACUUUUGAAUACGACGAACCAAUUGAAGGACAGAAAUCUUCUCAUUUAUUUACAAUUGACAACCCUAAUAAGAAUGAGAGUAAACAAACUCAGGAAGAAAAUAUAUUAGAAGAUAACGCAGCUCAGGAAGAUUUGGGAAGUUUAACUCAACUAAUUGUUGAUGAUGAACUAUUAAAAUAACCAUAUUUUCUUCUAUGUAAAAUUAUAUUAAAUCAAUUAUAAAAAAUGCAAUUUCUAGUAGGAAAGCUUAAAUGGAAAAGAGCAAAAUACUUUGCCAUAUUAUUAAAUUAUCACUAUUACUAUCAAAUGUUAAGUUACAGAGUUGUCUUGUUUCUAAAAAGGAAGCUAAAAUAUUUAUGAAUACUUAAAAAAAAUAUCGUAUCAAAUUAACUAUGUUCUAUUUCUUGUCCUUUUAAAAUUGUUAUAUCAGUUGAAAUAAGAAAAUAUCAAAUAAAUGUCA
rnacentral:misc_RNA from 1 species